AUUCUACUGUCAAAACGCGGACCAUAAUCGCAUCCAUAUCUGAUUCACAAACGCGGACGCGCUGUAAAAUCUAACGGACGUUGGUACAGUUUUUGUUGGGGCAGGCACGACCGAACAGCGCUCUCCAUAAACAGGUGGAAUUACCUCUGGGUCGGACAGGGCUAGCCAGCUGUAAUCCACCCUGCUACGGUGAUGCCCGCCUGCCUCCCGGCUUUUACGACCAAGAAUCGGAGCGCUGAUGUGAUGUUUCCCCGUCGACUGAUGAGGGAAGGAAGAGAAGGCA